GACGUACCACCCAAACGUUAUUCGGAAUCACUGGGCUUACAGAGUCCGUAGGCGGCUCGGAAAGUUGGGCGUGAAAUACCUCAGCUCAACUGAGGAAUUGCGCUCAAAACUACCGAGCUUGAGAGAGACAGAGGUGAGCGGAACUGAUGGUGGAGCGGUGAAAUGCGUUGAUAUCAUCAGGAACACCGGUGGCGAAGGCGGCUCACUGGGUCUUUUCUGACGCUGAGGGACGAAAGCUAGGGUAGCGAACGGG
rnacentral:rRNA from 1 species